rnacentral:rRNA from 1 species
UGAACGCUGGCGGCGUGCCUACUACAUGCACGUCGAGCGAACGGACGCGAAGCUUGCUUUUCUGAUGUUAGCGGCGGACGGGUGAGUAACACGUGGAUAACCUACCUAUAAGACUGGGAUAACUUCGGGAAACCGGAGCUAAUACCGGAUAAUAUUUUGAACCGCAUGGUUCAAAAGUGAAAGACGGUCUUGCUGUCACUUAUAGAUGGAUCCGCGCUGCAUUAGCUAGUUGGUAAGGUAACGGCUUACCAAGGCAACGAUGCAUAGCCGACCUGAGAGGGUGAUCGGCCACACUGGAACUGAGACACGGUCCAGACUCCUACGGGAGGCAGCAGUAGGGAAUCUUCCGCAAUGGGCGAAAGCCUGACGGAGCAACGCCGCGUGAGUGAUGAAGGUCUUCGGAUCGUAAAACUCUGUUAUUAGGGAAGAACAUAUGUGUAAGUAACUGUGCACAUCUUGACGGUACCUAAUCAGAAAGCCACGGCUAACUACGUG